AAAUAUUUGAACCUAUUGCAACACACGGGCAAAUUAUAUUACAUAAAAAUUACAAUUGACCUCCGGCAUUGAGCAUCGUGCCUGAUGACUUUCGGCUCUCAGCCGUGUUAGCUAUAUUCAGUCCAUACUUUGUCAGUGCUUGCUUGCUGCUGUCUUGGCUUCAGUUCAGUCCCGCACAAUCACUUGGCUUUGCAAGCUUCAGCUCAUCUUCUUCAGUUUGAAGAUUUUUCUCCAUUGACUAAUUCAGGUCGAUGUCAUACACUACAUGCACCCUUCACCGAUUUUAUACCAAACACAUACAUGCCUACCAAAACUCUUAAAAAUACAGCAUUGUCCAACGAACGGGACAAGAUUAUUCAAGAGUUCACAAUUAGAAACUGUACAAGAAAAUAAUAUGUACAGCGCUGCCCAUAUGGCAUCUUUCAAUCCUGGGCUGACGUCUCAUCAACCUGAGAAUGCUGUGCAUAAGGCUGCAAAAAAAAGGGAACAUAAGGUCAGCUCGAUUUCAACAUAUGUGUGGGACUAAAACACGACCCUACAAACUUCUCUUCUUGUUUUGCUAGGAUAGUAAAAAUACCAAAAUACUAGACGGCGGCAAAAUUAAGACUGCAUAUACUCGAGUCAGUCCACUUAAUCUAUGCCACUGACAGAAAAACAAGCAUGCGGUGAUGCAGCAAGACUGACGAUGCAUAUAAACUGUAGUACCUUGGGAACUGACGAUGCAUAUUAAGUCAAGUUGUUAUGUUGCGAAAUGCAGAUGUACGCAGAUUAUCAACAGGCGGAUAUUUAAGUUCCGAGAUAUCUAUGCUAUAGCUUCAAAAAAGUGUUCUGUGUAACAAUAACAUAAUAUGAGAAGUCACACUAUAUCAGCUGCCAGAUCCAAACCAGAGGGUCCAAAAUUGUCUAGUGCAUUCUGUAGUAUUCCAAUUAUUAGUUAUGCACGGGGUGCAGAUAUACCACUAACCAAUAUUUACGGUAACCUUAUAACGGUAUGCGCAAUAUCCCAUAUGUACAUAUAUAUUAACAAUGGUAGUGCUGUGGAAAAACCUAUCAGUAGGCUUAGUACUGUGUGCUCAUACGAAUCAAUGUAGUUAAUUGGCUUCUGGAACAAACAUUGAAGGUAGCACGUGCAGGUGAACACCACUUGACAACAAUGGCAAGAUUCUGUGGUGUGUAGAAUCCUACGGGAAAAGGGGUGUAGGAAUACAAUUCACAGAAAUUAUGAUGGUCUCAUUACUUUGAUCAAGGGUAUCCAUGAACAAUCCAACGGAAUAAAACCCUAUGGAUUCAACUGCGUAACAAUAAUAUUCCAAAACAGGCGAAAGGUGCAAAUUACUUGUCAUUUUAGCCAAAGAGAACAGAACACGGAAGGAUCAUCUUUUUCUUAUUUGUAUUCAGGUCCAAACUACUUGACAUUUUGAAAAAGCAAUGUUGUUGGUCUACGUUACCACUUAUUUCAACAGUAAAGAAGCGUACCAUGCUAUCCUGGGUUGGAGUUAUAGCAUGCAUGUUAUAAUUCCCAAUCAAGGUAUAGUAGUAGUCAUUCUGGAUUGAUAUUUGAUCAGCAUGAGAAUACUGUCCAUCAAACUGCAAGCAAAAGGAAAUAUAAGAUCAGUUUACUUGCAAUAUAUGUGGCAACUAAAACAUGGAAAUCCUAGAUCAAUUGAAAAAUAAAAUAAAAUGUGGUGACGCAACAAGACCGAGGAUGAAUAUUAAUUGUAUAGUACCUCUAGCGUUGAGUUGCUUUCUGAAAACAGGUGGCGAGAAAUAGCAUCCAGAGAUGCAUCAUGAGGUGGCGGAGCAUCCCCGGAGGAAUAAAUCGAUUGCUGGCCAUAAAUAGUGUGUUCAAAGUCAUAUUGUUAUGUUCCGAAAUGCAGCUGUAAGCCAAUUAUCAACAGACAAAAACUGAAGUUCCAGAUAAUGUACGCUAAAUUCGCUCCAAACAAGUGUUCUAUAUAACAAAAACAACAUGGGAG
rnacentral:lncRNA from 1 species